AAGAUACAAAGUAACUGGCUGAUUAAAAACUCUGAGAACUCUUCAGUCAUUUUGCAGAAGAUAUUGAUCAGCUAGAGAAUGUACAUCUCUGAACUGGGGAUUGACAUGGGUUCCAAUGAGCAUCCUGAACAGCCACCAGCAACUUCAAGCUCCAUUAGAUUCAUUAGUCAGAAGACCUAUUGGCAGAAUAGCUUGUGUUGUGGCCUGAAUCAGCUUCUCCUGCUUUGGACUCCACUCAAAGGAAGAGCAACCUUAUGCAUUCCUCAGCAACAGGAUCAGAGGAGGACAUCCAUAUGUGAUCCCUUGUGAGGUUGAUGGGACAGCAGCAUGAGGCUUGUUGUGCAGAUUUGGAAAUGGAAACCCAAGAG